rnacentral:rRNA from 1 species
UGCAGUCGAGGGGUAACAUUGUAGCUUGCUACAGAUGACGACCGGCGAACGGGUGCGUAACGCGUAUAGAAUCUGCCUUGUACAUGAGGAUAGCCUUUAGAAAUGAAGAUUAAUACUCCAUAAUGCUAAUAUGUGGCAUCACAAAUUAGUUAAAGAUUUAUCGGUACAAGAUGACUAUGCGUCCUAUUAGCUAGAUGGUAAGGUAACGGCUUACCAUGGCAACGAUAGGUAGGGGGUCUGAGAGGAUUAUCCCCCACACUGGUACUGAGACACGGACCAGACUCCUACGGGAGGCAGCAGUGAGGAAUAUUGGUCAAUGGAGGCAACUCUGAACCAGCCAUGCCGCGUGCAGGAUGACUGCCCUAUGGGUUGUAAACUGCUUUUAUACAGGAAGAAACUUAGCUACGUGUAGUUAACUGACGGUACUGUAAGAAUAAGGACCGGCUAACUCCGUGCCAGCAGCCGCGGUAAUACGGAGGGUCCAAGCGUUAUCCGGAAUCAUUGGGUUUAAAGGGUCCGCAGGCGGUCAAUUAAGUCAGAGGUGAAAUCCCAUAGCUUAACUAUGGAACUGCCUUUGAUACUGGUUGACUUGAGUUAUACGGAAGUAGAUAGAAUAAGUAGUGUAGCGGUGAAAUGCAUAGAUAUACUUAGGAAUACCGAUGCGAAGGCAGUCUACUACGUAUAUACUGACGCUCAUGACGAAAGCGUGGGGAG